GACAGAGGCCCCAAGCGUUAGGCGGAAUCACUGGGCUUAAAGCGUGUGUAGGCGGAUCGUUAAGUGUCUUGUGAAAUCCCACGGCUCACCCGUGGAACGGCUGGGCAUACUGGCGAUCUUGGGCCAACUAGGGGCAGUCGGAACAAGCGGUGGAGCGGUGAAAUGCGUAGAUAUCGCUUGGAACGCCGAAGGUAAAACAGACUGCUGGGGUUGCGCCGACGCUGAGACACGAAAGCCAGGGAGCAAACGGG
rnacentral:rRNA from 1 species